GUUUUAAUAGUUUAAAAAAAACUUUGGUUUUGUAAUCCAAAAAUAAAUUAUUUAUUUUUAAAACU
rnacentral:tRNA from 1 species